GAUGAAGAACGUAGCGAAAUGCGAUAAGUAGUGUGAAUUGCAGAAUUCAGUGAAUCAUCGAAUCUUUGAACGCACAUUGCGCCCCUUGGUAUUCCAUGGGGCAUGCCUGUUCGAGCGUCAUUUGUACCUUCAAGCUCUGCUUGGUGUUGGGUGUUUGUCUCGCCUCUGCGUGUAGACUCGCCUCAAAACAAUUGGCAGCCGGCGUAUUGAUUUCGGAGCGCAGUACAUCUCGCGCUUUGCACUCAUAACGAAGACGUCCAAAAGUACAUUUUUACACUCUUGACCUCGGAUCAGGUAGGGAUACCCGCUGAACUUAAGCAUAUCAAUAAGCGGAGGA
rnacentral:misc_RNA from 1 species